GCUGGUGUGGCGUAACAGGAAGGCGCGCAGGUUUUAGACACCUGUGGUCGAGAGACCGUAUGAGUUCAACUCUCAUCACCAGCA
rnacentral:tRNA from 1 species